UGCCCUGUAGCCAAGUGGUAAGGCAUCUGACUCUGAAUCAGACAUGCACUGGUUCGAAUCCAGUCAGGGCAACCA
rnacentral:tRNA from 2 species